rnacentral:rRNA from 1 species
AGCAGCCGCGGUAAUUCCAGCUCCAAUAGCGUAUAUUAAAGUUGUUGCAGUUAAAAAGCUCGUAGUUGAAUUUCGGGGUUAGUAGGUUGGUCAUGCCUCUGGUAUGUACUGGUCUCACUGAUUCCUCCUUCCUGAUGAGCCGUAAUGCCAUUAAUUUGGUGUUGCGGGGAAUUUGGACUGUUACUUUGAAAAAAUUAGAGUGUUUAAAGCAAGCUAACGCUUGAAUACAUUAGCAUGGAAUAAUGAAAUAGGACGUUCGAUCCUAUUUUGUUGGUUUCUAGGAUUGACGUAAUGAUUAAUAGGGAUAGUUGGGGGCAUUAGUAUUCAAUUGUCAGAGGUGAAAUUCUUGGAUUUAUUGAAGACUAACUACCGCGAAAGCAUUUGCCAAGGAUGUUUUCAUUAAUCAAGAACGAAAGUUAGGGGAUCGAAGACGAUCAGAUACCGUCGUAGUCUUAACCAUAAACUAUGCCGGACUAGGGAUCGG